CAUGUGGUUAAUUCGAAGCAACGCGAAGACUUACAGGUCUUGACAUCCCGAUGCUAUUUCUAGAGAUAGAAAGUUACUUCGGUACAUCGGUGACAGGUGGUGCAUGGUUGUCGUCAGCUCGUGUCGUGAGAUGUUGGGUUAAGUCCCGCAACGAGCGCAACCCCUAUUGUUAGUUGCCAUCAUUCAGUUGGGCACUCUAGCGAGACUGCCGGUAAUAAACCGGAGGAAGGUGGGGAUGACGUCAAAUCAUCAUGCCCCUUAUGACCUGGGCUACACACGUGCUACAAUGGUUGGUACAACGAGUUGCGAGUCGGUGACGGCGAGCUAAUCUCUUAAAGCCAAUCUCAGUUCGGAUUGUAGGCUGCAACUCGCCUACAUGAAGUCGGAAUCGCUAGUAAUCGCGGAUCAGCACGCCGCGGUGAAUACCGGUUCCCGGGCCUU
rnacentral:rRNA from 1 species